ACACGAGGCAGCAAAUCCGAACAGGCAAAGGCCUCACUCUCCAGUGCAGUCUGGGAGGACUGAUCAGGGAAGAACAGAUCAGGGUGAAGAACAGAAAGACCCCAAGGCAUCUCCCCAAGAUGACCACAGUUGUCCCUGAAGAAGCAGUCACAGCAAGCUCACUUCACAGGAACCAAGCUGUGGGCUGAUCCUACAGACUUGAAAAGACAACUCAAAAAGAUUGUCUGUGGGGUCAGAAACAGCUCUGGAGGGGUCUGCAGAAAUUACUUUCCCAAGUCUUUGGGCUGGAAGGAACGAACAGUGCCUGACCAAGGACUUUGAGCAGGAGAGAGAUGGGAGCAGAGAGGAGCCAAGGUCUACUAUUUUCACUUCUGUCAAUUAGAUCAAAGCCCUGCCCAGAAGCUUUGAGCGCCGCUGUCAAGUCCCAUUCCUCCCCUAAACCAUCCAGGUUCCAUCUGCCUUGAAGCCAAAGGAUCUUCUUAGAUUCCUCAAGAAAAAUUCAGGCCCCGAGUUUCUCCACCAGCACUCUCCUCUCCCCGAAGGAGUGGGUGGGCUGCAUUUCUCUUCAUAUUCUAUUCCAUUCCAGACCGUCUUGGACUACCAGCCUGUCCGCCACCCCUCGGGGCCCUCCCUCCUACUCUGCCCUUGCCCGCUGAGGUCCCAAGCUGAGGAGAUGAGCCGAGCAGUAAAAAGAGAGGAGGUUUGGAAAAGCAAUGUCCUCUCAGUCUUUAAUAGGUGGCCCCCCUGGGAACCUGCUGGAAGUGGAAGUUAAUAAGCUGAAGGUGGUCACAACCAAUCUCUGCCACACUCGCACCCUACCCCACCCCAAAUCAUUCCUUUUAAUUAAUAGUGGAAGACCUUUUUAAAAAUGUAACAUGAAUUGGCUAUUUCUUGAGGCAAACAAAAGGUGGCUCUGAAGCGAUAUAUUUGUACUCGUAUAAAUUCAUUAAAAUAGAAAGCUUAUAACCAUCCAGGUUUCACUGACAGCCCCAGUCCAUCUACAUGCAGAAAUGGUCCCUCCAAAGCCCUCUACGACAAUUAUUCUCACAGAUCGUCAUGAUAAACUGUAAGGGAAUAUACUAAGAAAGAGGGAAGAAGAGAGGAGGAGUCCAUUUUUAAUUAGUGGUUGGAAAUAGAGUAAAAAUUAGAGGGCCUUAGGUUUAAAACACAGAUGUGCAUUGUGAUCGUCUGAAGGAAGAGCUGUUGACAGAGAAAACAAGGUGGUGAACUAUGCCCUUGGCCUGUGACAGUUAGGUGAGGGUUGCUCACCGCAGAAGACAGACCGGUAGAGCCCAGCAGGAAAGAGGGUAUCAGGCUGGAAGAAGUGCAGUUUGGCCCUGGCGGAGUGGUGGAGUGGCUGGAGCGACUGCAGGAGGAGGAUAGAUCUGGAAGCAGGUCUGGGCUAUACUUUGGCCUCAGCCAGGGAGCCAGAGAAGGAAGGCUUGGGUUCGAGGGGGGAAAUCAUUCUCCCAAAUUGCUUUCUCAGAAGCGCCAAUUCAGAUCACCUGAAGACAGGGUCUGGGCCCCAUUACAGCAUGGUUCCCAAAUGGGAGUGUGCUUGGAAGCCUUGGUGAUUAAAGGGUGCUGACUAAAAGAGUCAAACUCUGUAAAAUAUUUGAAGAGAUUUAUUCUGAGCCAAAUAUGAGUGACCAUGGCCCAUGACACAGCCCUCAGGAGACCCUGAGAACAUGUGUUCAAGGUGGUCGGGGUACAGCUUGGUUUUAUAUGUUUUAGGAAGGCAUGAGACUCAAUCAAAGACAUUUUAAAAAUACAUUGGUUUGGUUCAGAAAGGUGAGACAACUCAAAGUGGGGGCUUCCAGGCUAUAGGUAAAUUUAAACAUUUUCUGACUGACAAUUGGUUGGGUUUAUCUGGAGACCUGGGAUUAAUGGAAAGGAAGGUUCAUGUUAAGAUACAGAACUGUGGGGACCAAGUUUUAUUGUGCAGAGGAAUCUCUCAGAUAGCAGACUUCAGAGAGAGAGAGAGCAGGUUGUAAAAUGUUUCUUAUCGGACCUAAAAGGGUACCUGGCUCUUAGUUGAUUAUCUCCUGGAUCUGGGAAGGAAGGAAGGAAAACAAAGGGGAAAGGAAAUAUUUCCUAUAGAAUAUGGAUUUUUCCCACAAGAGACUUUGCAGGACAAUUUCGAGAUAUGGCAAGGAGAUUUAUUUUGGGGUAAAACAUUUUGAUUUUCUUCCUUGUUAUGCCACAGUCAGAUUGGAAAGUCAGUCAUGAUAUACAGGGUCAGAUAAAAUCCGUCUGAUGAGAAUGUAUGGUUGGUAGGGCAUGACUCCCCAGACCCCUUAGAUAGGAAUCUGGGCAAGAUAAAAAAUCGGAGCUUAGUCCUCAAGGGAAGGGGCAGCAGCGCUGUUGGCGGGCUCACCAAGCAUCAGUACUGGAUCACCAGGCUUGGGAGAGUAGGGGUGUCAAGGCCCCAAGAGCAGGGAGGGCCUUGGCCCCACUAGGGGGGCAUCAGAAAGCAGGGAGCACUUGUAGUUCACCAUGAUUCCCCUCAAAGCCCUGGGCCAGCCUCCUGCAGGGAAGGCGGGCAGGAAGUCUUCCCCAUAGGGGCAGGCUUGCUUUUUUGGCCAGCCAUCCUCUUCAUAUGAAAAACAGCAUCUUGUCAUUUCUAGAUGUUUCUACUUUGGUUGACUCUUUAAUUUUUCUGCAGUUAAAAGCCUUAAAACAGCAAGGAAGCAGGGGACAGGAGGGGAGCCCAGAUCUCUCCCAAAGAAAAGGAGAAAGACUGAAUCCUUGAGGCCUGCCGUACAAAGGAGUGGUGGGUUGGAGGAGGGUAGGCAGAGACUAGGGUGGUCUGGGACUUUAAGUACAAGGCCCCGUGGAUUUCAUUGGGGGGCAAGCCAUGUGCAACAGGGAAGCUCAGGAACCGGGGGGUUUCGCACAGAGGUCUGGUGCUGUGAGGUACAGGGAAAGAAUUAGUGGAUCUGGACCAGUGGAACAUUGGUUUAGUGUAAUCUCUGAUUUGUGUUGAGUGAAUUUGAGUAUAGUCCAACCACCACCCCCCUACCCCAACUAAACCAUGUGCCCCUCAGGAGCUGGGACUCUUCUAUUUUCUAUUCCUUAUAGCAGGCUCAGUGCCUGACACACUACGUUGAAUUUUAUUUUAAACAUUUCAUUUACAUUAAAUGGUAUAUUUGCAAGUUCAUUCUUCCAGACCUCAGUUUAUUCUUUUAUCUAGUCAUUUUAAAGGGAUUCUCUCAGACCCUCCACUAGCUAAGAGAACCGAACUUUUCUUCCAGAAUUGUCAGGAAAUGGGACUUACUGACUUAGUGAGCUACUUAUUUUAUCUAGAAUUAACUGUGUCUAAUAAAAUAUAUAUGCACUUUGGGAAUGGAUGAGGUGCUACACAAAUGAAAGAUGGUAUUAUUCAUCAUACAGUGUUUUUGAUUAUAAUAGAUUAUUCUCUGCCAAAACCCAGAAGGGCCAAGUCGAGGUAGGUUGCUGAAAGGGGAGGAAGUCUAAAUAGCAGAAUCAGACUUUUCCAUAAGUUUGCAGUGGCGUAUGGACAACACUCAGGCAACCAGCCCUCGGCACAGCAACAGGGGACCCACCUCCUAAGUUGGGGCUGAGUAAAGACAUAUUCCCGGGGCAAGGCUUUGCCAAGGCAGGCCUCUUCUGAAACAUAAGUCCCAUCUUUCUCCCGGCCCCGCCACCCCACCUCAGAUGUGCUGUCUAGAAGCUGCACAUCUGGGGCCGUUCAAACUCCUGGCUCGAAUCACUGGAAUCAUCUGAGCAGGAUAAUUUUACAUUAAUGAUUAAAAAUUGCUCUUCUAGAUAUAGCCUUGCCUCAGGGUAGCCAUUAAGAACAUUACUUCGUAAUUUAAGAAGCUCAAUGUAGGGCGCUUUGGGCAUUUGCAAAGAGGGAACUGUACUCAUAUCUUGAUAAAUUGCAAAAUGUCUCCCACCAUCUUCUUGUUCUGUAUCUCCUCUUCUGCCUUCUGCCAUUGCACUCUCUGGCAUAUAAUCCUUUUAAAGAAUAAGAACAAAAACAAAAAAAAAAGGAAGAUAAUGAAAAGCCUAUUGUUUCUUAGUGUCCGCUGAUGUUAAACACGCACACGCAUGCACAAUUAUGAAUUUUGUGUAUUUCUUCCGGGGGAUGGAGCCAUAAAGGGUUACACUUUGGUAUGUGAUUUUGGAGCCUACACUUGAAAUGGGAAUUUGAAUGUAGUUGAACAGACUUUUAACAUUGCCCCGAGAAGAAUGAUACUGGCAUUUGCUUGUCUGCGGUGUCACACCCCGGAGUGUGGAGGAUCCUCACCGGCUCUGUGACUCACCCUGGAAGUUGCACCUUUCUCGGGGGGCAGGGUGGGGAGUUACUUUUUAUAAGUAAACCCCAGAGAGCAGUGUUUCCGUAUCAAUCAGUUUCUCAACAAGUUUGAGAGCAGAUUGUGCCUCAAUCCCUAUCGUUGGGGAUGCUCUCCAAGCUCUCCGGGGUGCCGCCAAGCCAGGAUCUCCCAUUCUGAUGCAUCCUGGGUCUCCUCUUCCCUUGCCCCUCUUCCUUGUUCUCCACUCUGAGCCAGCUAGACAGGUGAAGCAGAGAACCUGUCUAGUCCAAACUCCUUAUUUUACAGAUCAGGAGCGUGAGGCCCAGAGAGGGAUUGCCCUUACCCCAUCCUGCAUCCCCUCUCCUCCUCUUCUGCCUUCACCCCAAUACCUUCCAGCGUGAAUGAUGCCCACCCUGUCUCUCUUCUAGCCCCGCAUCCUGCAUUACUCUUUUCACAAUAUUUUUGAGUAAGUGGCCUGCUGCAAUCUUAUAUUUGGCAUGGCAAAGGCAGACCCCUUUCCCUCCCUCCAGACCCCCAGCUCAGCCACUGUGAGUGCUGUAAGGCCAGUCCCCACCUGUGUCCUUCUAUUCAUCACAAACUAAGCACAUGCUACUUUAUCUUUUAUCUCCUCGUGUCCACAAAACAGGCCACAACCAAGGUCAUGCUGCCAAACAGAUCUGGGAGAAUGGUAAUUGACAAUUCACGCUAAAAAUUGUGUUGAACAAAAAUUCUCUUCUAUUAGAAAAAUGACAGGAGAGACAACUUUGCCAUUAUGUUGCUUUCUCCUCAAUCGGGACACACAAAAAAUCUCAAUAAAAAUGUUAUAUCAAAGGCUCGCAAACAUCAUUCAAAUCUUCCCUAACCCAUUGCUUUCAUUUGAAAAACGAGCAUUUCAUUAAAGACACUUGACAGGAUGUUAAUUUGUUGUGGGAAUCUGUCAGUGUCCAAACAAAUACUUGCAUGUUUUGUGCAGAUGAGGUAACCGCUUGUAGAAUGGCAAAACCAGAAGGCAUUUGGGUGACCUGCUUUGGCCUUUUGACUUUACAG
rnacentral:lncRNA from 1 species